rnacentral:snRNA from 1 species
AUCACUUCUCAGCCUUCUGUCUAAGACCAAGUGUAGUAUCUGUUCUUAUCAGUUUAAUAUCUGAUACAUUCUCUAUCUGAGGACAAUAUAUUAAAUUUAUUUCUGCAAGUAGGAGUUGGAUUAGGAGCUUGCUCCAUCCACUCCACACAUCAGCCUGGCAUUGUGGUACUUCCAGGAAUGGUGCAGCCCCU